GUAUAGAGGGUGAAUUCUGCCCAAUGGUUGUAUAGUGAAACUGAGGACUAACGUCUAAAGCGAAACCCAACUGAAUGGCCGCGGUAACUCUGACCGUGAUAAUGUAGCACAAUAAAUAGCCAAUUAAUUGUUGGCGGGUAUGAAUGGAACCACGAGGGUCUUACUGUCUCAAGAGGAAAGCCGAUGAAAUUAUAAUUGUAGUGAAGAUACUACAUAAACAUUGUAAGACGAAAAGACCCUAUCGAGCUUUACUGGAUACCGAUAGCGUUAAUUUAGAAUGAUCGAUACUAAGUAUCCUAAUUCUAAGUUAAUAAUUUUUGUUGGUAGGACAGUUUAGUUGGGGCGACUACCUUUGAAUAAGAAACGAAGGCGAGCUUAUGGUAUUAUUUAAAAUCUCAUUAGCCUCACAGUGAGGGGGACACCCCUAGCUGGCACACCGUAAGGGAUGUGGGCGAUAGUGACCCGAUAUGAUUAUCCAAAAUAAAUAUCGAAAGCGGAUAAAAGCUACCGUAGGGAUAACAGCGUAAUAUUGUCGGAGAGUUCUUAUCGAGGACAGUGUUUGCGAACUC
rnacentral:rRNA from 1 species